rnacentral:rRNA from 1 species
AUUGAACGCUGGCGGCAGGCCUAACACAUGCAAGUCGAGCGGAUGAAGGGAGCUUGCUCCUGGAUUCAGCGGCGGACGGGUGAGUAAUGCCUAGGAAUCUGCCUGGUAGUGGGGGAUAACGUCCGGAAGCGGGCGCUAAUACCGCAUACGUCCUGAGGGAGAAAGUGGGGGAUCUUCGGACCUCACGCUAUCAGAUGAGCCUAGGUCGGAUUAGCUAGUUGGUGGGGUAAAGGCCUACCAAGGCGACGAUCCGUAACUGGUCUGAGAGGAUGAUCGGUCACACUGGAACUGAGACACGGUCCAGACUCCUACGGGAGGCAGCAGUGGGGAAUAUUGGACAAUGGGCGAAAGCCUGAUCCAGCCAUGCCGCGUGUGUGAAGAAGGUCUUCGGAUUGUAAAGCACUUUAAGUUGGGAGGAAGGGCAGUAAGUUAAUACCUUGCUGUUUUGACGUUACCAACAGAAUAAGCACCGGCUAACUUCGUG